UGGGGAGGUACUUUGAACCUAUGUAAAUAUUUCAUUCCUCAUCAAACUUUCAAUUUAUUCAUUUAUUUAUAUUAUAUUUGAACUCACAGU